rnacentral:rRNA from 1 species
UGAGGAAUAUUGGUCAAUGGGGGCAACCCUGAACCAGCCAAGUCGCGUGAAGGAUGAAGGUCUUAUGGAUUGUAAACUUCUUUUAUACAGGAACAAAUUGGGGGACGUGUCCCCUUUUGCAUGUACUGUAUGAAUAAGGAUCGGCUAACUCCGUGCCAGCAGCCGCGGUAAUACGGAGGAUCCGAGCGUUAUCCGGAUUUAUUGGGUUUAAAGGGUGCGCAGGCGGGAUGUUAAGUCGGCGGUGAAAUUUUGCAGCUCAACUGUAAAAGUGCCUUCGAUACUGUCCUCCUUGAGUGUGGAUGAAGUAGGCGGAAUUUGUGGUGUAGCGGUGAAAUGCUUAGAUAUCACGAGGAACUCCGAUUGCGCAGGCAGCUUACUAAGCCACAACUGACGCUCAUGCACGAAGGCGUGGGGA